rnacentral:rRNA from 1 species
CCUACGGGUGGCAGCAGUGGGGAAUAUUGGACAAUGGGGGGAACCCUGAUCCAGCCAUGCCGCGUGUGUGAAGAAGGCCCUCGGGUUGUAAAGCACUUUCAGUGAGGAAGAACGCCUGGUGGUUAAUACCCAUCAGGAAAGACAUCACUCACAGAAGAAGCACCGGCUAACUCCGUGCCAGCAGCCGCGGUAAUACGGAGGGUGCGAGCGUUAAUCGGAAUUACUGGGCGUAAAGCGCGCGUAGGUGGCUUGAUAAGCCGGUUGUGAAAGCCCCGGGCUCAACCUGGGAACGGCAUCCGGAACUGGCAAGCUAGAGUGCAGGAGAGGGAGGUAGAAUUCCCGGUGUAGCGGUGAAAUGCGUAGAGAUCGGGAGGAAUACCAGUGGCGAAGGCGGCCUUCUGGACUGACACUGACACUGAGGUGCGAAAGCGUGGGUAGCAAACAGGAUUAGAUACCCCGAGUAGUC